CCCUAGUAACUGCGAGUGAAGCGGGAAAAGCUCAAAUUUAAAAUCUGGCGGUCUUUUGGCUGUCCGAGUUGUAAUCUAGAGAAGUGUUAUCCGCGCUGGACCGUGUACAAGUCUCCUGGAAUGGAGCAUCAUAGAGGGUGAGAAUCCCGUCUUUGACAUGGACUGCCAGGGCUUUGUGAUGCGCUCUCAAAGAGUCGAGUUGUUUGGGAAUGCAGCUCAAAAUGGGUGGUAAAUUCCAUCUAAAGCUAAAUAUUGGCGAGAGACCGAUAGCGAACAAGUACCGUGAGGGAAAGAUGAAAAGAACUUUGGAAAGAGAGUUAAACAGUACGUGAAAUUGCUGAAAGGGAAACGCUUGAAGUCAGUCGCGUCGUCCAGGGAUCAACCUUGCUUUUGCUUGGUGCACUUUCUGGUUUGACGGGUCAGCAUCAAUUUUGACCGUUGGAAAAAGGUCAAGGGAAUGUGGCAUCUUUGGAUGUGUUUAUAGCCCUUGGUCACAUACAAUGGUUGGGAUUGAGGAACUCAGCACGCCGCAAGGCCGGGUUUUAAACCACGUACGUGCUUAGGAUGCUGGCAAUAUGGCUUUAAUCGACCCGUCUUGAAACACGGACCAAGGAGUCUAACAUGCCUGCGAGUGUUUGGGUGGAAAACCCGAGCGCGUAAUGAAAGUGAAAAGUUGAGAUCCCUGUCGUGGGGAGCAUCGACGCCCGGACCAGACCUUUUGUGACGGUUCCGCGGUAGAGCAUGUAUGUUGGGACCCGAAAGAUGGUGAACUAUGCCUGAAUAGGGUGAAUCCAGAGGAAACUCUGGUGGAGGCUCGUAGCGAUUCUGACGUGCAAAUCGAUCGUCAAAUUUG
rnacentral:rRNA from 1 species